rnacentral:lncRNA from 1 species
GGUUUUAGAUGCAUGGUUGUACUUGAGUUGUAUUCAAGCCAUUCAAAAUACACAACAGAAAAUAAAACAUAUAACUUAUUAUAAAGGAAAAGAAGUUUGGUAUCCUGCGGACACUGUAUAAGCUGCAUUAGAAUCAAGUCCCAUACCAUUGUCCCCUUCUGUGGUGAAUAGAUAUUGUUCUGAGAAUCCUAUGCAGAUCACUAUAAUAUGAACCUAAGGCACACACUGGAUUUUAACUUGUUCACUCUGUACCACUGCAGGAGAUACUUCCUAUGUUCAAUAAAGGUGGGUACCGACUGAAUAGAAUGAACCAUUGUUUUGUUUUCCUUUUUGGACAAGCACUCUUUCUUCCUUGGUGGCGGAAACCAAAGUUUCUAUCAUUCUGAUAAUGCCCACCAUAUAUCCUUUAGCCCUUUAUGCCUGCAAAUGUGACAUUGGAUUCAACACCAUUGUUUAUUUUCUACAUACACAUCUGUCUA